rnacentral:rRNA from 1 species
UGCGGGGGGUGCGAGCGUUGUCCGGAAUCACUGGGCGUAAAGGGCGCGUAGGUGGUCUGAUAAGGGUGUGGUGAAAGCCCGGGGCUCAACCCCGGGUCGGCCGUGCCGACUGUUAGACUAGAGUGCUGUAGGGGCAGGCGGAAUUCCGGGUGUAGCGGUGGAAUGCGUAGAGAUCCGGAGGAAGACCGGUGGCGAAGGCGGCCUGCUGGGCAGUUACUGACACUGAGGCGCGACAGCGUGGGGAGCAAACAGG